rnacentral:rRNA from 1 species
UACGGGGGGGAGCAAGCGUUGUUCGGAUUUACUGGGCGUAAAGGGCGCGUAGGCGGCCAGCACAAGUCAGUUGUGAAAUCUCCGGGCUUAACUCGGAAAGGUCAACUGAUACUGUGCGACUAGAGUGCGGAAGGGGCAACUGGAAUUCUCGGUGUAGCGGUGAAAUGCGUAGAUAUCGAGAGGAACACCUGCGGCGAAGGCGGGUUGCUGGGCCGACACUGACGCUGAUGCGCGAAAGCCAGGGGAGCGAACGGG